AACGCAAAUUGCACUCCUUUCGGGGAGUAUGCCUGUUUGAGGGUCAAUUUUAAUAACAAUCGACGUUACUUUUUUUUAAGUGACGAUUCGGAAUUGAGUUUUCUUAAUCUUUAAGGUUAAGUGGCUUAAAAUUAAUUUAUUUUUGUAUUUAAACGUACUUAAGAAUUUUUCAUUCUAUACGUUUUAAGUACUAAAUUUUUAUUAGGUAUGACCAUAUUUUUAUGGUUAUCAUGCCUAUAAUUUUUUCAAUUUUUGACCUCAAGUCAGGUAAGAAUACCCGCUGAACUUAA
rnacentral:misc_RNA from 1 species